rnacentral:rRNA from 1 species
UGUCUCCCCCCUCCAAUCAGUGAAACUGAUCUCCCCGUGAAGAAGCGGGGAUACAAAUAUAAGACGAGAAGACCCCAUGGAGCUUUAAACCCAACAGCACCCGUUUAUUUUCAUCCUCACAUAAGUUAGGUUAUGCCUGUUUGGUUUUAGGUUGGGGUGACCACGGAGUAUAAAACAACCUCCAUGAAAAAAGGACCAAAAAUCCUUAUUAGAGAAAGACAUUUCUAAAAUUAAUAAAUUAAUUUUUAAUGAUCCGAUAUUCGAUCAACGAACCAAGUUACCCUGGGGAUAACAGCGCAAUCCACUUCAAGAGCUCCUAUCGACAAGUGGGUUUACGACCUCGAUGUUGGAUCAGGGUAUCCUAGUGGUGCAGCAGCUACUAACGGUUCGUUUGUUCAACGAUUAAAACCCU